GGUCCCAUCGUCUAGGGGUUAGGACACCGGGCUCUCAAUCCGGUAACGGGGGUUCGAAUCCCCCUGGGACCACUA
rnacentral:tRNA from 1 species